rnacentral:rRNA from 1 species
AUUGAACGCUGGCGGCAUGCUUUACACAUGCAAGUCGAACGGUAACAGGUCUUCGGAUGCUGACGAGUGGCGAACGGGUGAGUAAUGUAUCGGAACGUGCCCAGUAGCGGGGGAUAACCUGGCCGAAAGGUCAGCUAAUACCGCAUACGCCCUACGGGGGAAAGGGGGGGAUCGCAAGACCUCUCACUAUUGGAGCGGCCGAUAUCGGAUUAGCUAGUUGGUGGGGUAAAGGCCUACCAAGGCGACGAUCCGUAGCUGGUUUGAGAGGACGACCAGCCACACUGGGACUGAGACACGGCCCAGACUCCUACGGGAGGCAGCAGUGGGGAAUUUUGGACAAUGGGGGAAACCCUGAUCCAGCCAUCCCGCGUGUGCGAUGAAGGCCUUCGGGUUGUAAAGCACUUUUGGCAGGGAAGAAACAGCCUGGGCUAAUAUCCCGGGCGACUGACGGUACCUGCAGAAUAAGCACCGGCUAACUACGUG